rnacentral:rRNA from 1 species
AUGUCAGUGAGAGGCUUAGUAGAAAAUUAUACCAUCUCUUACAGCCCAAAGGCUCACGUCCGUUCAGAUGCUUGGUUGAAACCAAAGUAUGGUUACGUGAAAUUAAAUGUUGACGCGGGAUUUGAUAGUGACACACUCGCAGCAACAUUUGGAGCAGUUAUCCGGGACCAUAGGGGGAAAUUUAUAGCGGCUGCUAAUGAAAAGAUAGACAUUUGCUUCGACUCAUUCACAGCAGAAGCAAUUGUGGUUUGA